ACUACAUGAAGCUGGAAUCGCUAGUAAUCGCGGAUCAGAAUGCCGCGGUGAAUACGUUCCCGGGUCUUGUACACACCGCCCGUCACACCAUGGGAGUCGGAAAUGCCCGAAGCCGGUGACUCAACCUUUAAGGAGAGAGCCGUCGAAGGCAGGUCUGAUAACUGGGGUGAAGUCGUAACAAGGUAGC
rnacentral:rRNA from 1 species